UAAGAGAACCACAAGAAGUUCCAAAAAAAAAUGGCGACGAAACUGCAGGUCUUUGAAGAAUGCCACUUCCAAAAAAUAUAGCCAACCCCAGAAAGAAAAAAAAAAAACGAAUGUACAUAGGAAAAUAUAUUCUUUACUUCUUGGUUGAAAUACCUGGGCUGGGCAGCAUUGUGUUUGGUUGGACAUAGAACUUAAUGGGUUCUCAUUUUUUAAUCUCUUGUAUAGUAUUUGAUGAGGAAAUUCUGUUUAGGUGACCAACAUAUUGAAUAGACAUGGGCAUGCCAAAGAACAUUGUUAUUGGCUCGCACGUUUGGGUUGGAGAUCCAGAAUUAGUUUGGAUUGAUGGACAAAUAAUAAAUGUAAAUGGAGAGGAAGCUGAGAUUCAAACUAGUAACGGGAAGACGGUUGUUGCAAAUUUGUCAAAAUUACAUCCCAAAGAUAUGGAAAAUCCUGAAGGUGGAGUUGAUGACAUGAUUAAGCUAGAAAAUUUGCAUGAGCCAGGAGUGCUGCAUAAUUUGGCAACUAGAUUUAAGAUCAAUGAAAUUUAUACUUAUACUGGAAACAUUCUUAUUGCGAUCAAUCCAUUCCAAAGACUCUCACACUUGUAUGAUGCUUCCAUGAUGAAACGUUACAAAGGAGCGCCAUUUGGAGAACUCAGCCCUCAUGUUUUUACAAUUGCUGAUGUUGCGUAUAGGGAAAUGAUUAAUGAGGGGAAAAGCAACUCUAUUCUGGUUAGUGGUGAAAGUGGGGCUGGUAAGACAGAAACCACCAAACUGCUUAUGCGUUACCUUGCCUAUUUAGGUGGCCAUACUGCAGCAGAAGGACGGACUGUUGAACGACAAGUUUUAGAAUCAAACCCUGUUCUGGAAGCAUUUGGCAAUGCAAAAACUGUUAAAAAUAACAAUUCCAGUCGUUUCGGAAAAUUUGUCGAGAUUCAAUUUGAUAAGAAAGGAAGAAUAUCAGGGGCAGCCAUUAGAACUUAUCUUCUAGAAAGAUCUCGUGUUUGCCAAAUUUCAGAUCCUGAGCGCAACUAUCAUUGUUUUUACCUUCUUUGUGCAGCUCCUCCUGAGGAGAAAGAGAGAUACAAGUUGGGAAACCCUAAAUCACUUCACUAUCUUAAUCAAUCAAAUUGCUAUGAACUGGUUGGUGUAAGUGAUGCUCAUGAUUAUCUCACCACUAAGAGAGCCAUGGAUAUUGUUGGAAUAAGUCAAAAAGAGCAGGAUGCAAUUUUCAGAGUUGUGGCAGCAAUUCUUCAUCUUGGCAACAUUGAUUUUGCUAAGGGGGAAGAAAGUGAUUCAUCAAUUUUAAAAGAUGAAGAAUCCAAAUUCCGUCUUAAAAUGACUGCAGAUCUUCUCAUGUGUGAUCCUCAUGCAUUGGAAGAUACAUUGUGUAAGCGUGUAAUGAUUACCCCAGAAGAAAUUAUAAAGAGAAGUCUUGAUCCUCAUGGUGCAGCAGUUAGUCGGGAUGGUUUAGCAAAGACAAUAUAUUCUCGCUUGUUUGAUUGGUUGGUGGAUAAAAUCAAUCUCUCAAUUGGGCAAGAUCCAUCCUCAAAAUGUCUGAUAGGGAUCCUUGACAUUUAUGGUUUUGAAAGCUUUAAAACUAAUAGUUUUGAGCAGUUUUGCAUCAAUUUUACAAAUGAAAAGCUGCAACAACAUUCCAACCAGCAUGUGUUCAAGAUGGAGCAAGAGGAAUACACAAAGGAGGAAAUUGAUUGGAGCUACAUAGAAUUUGUUGAUAAUCAAGAUGUCUUAGAUCUUAUCGAAAAGAAACCAGGUGGCAUCAUUGCUUUGCUGGAUGAAGCUUGUAUGUUUCCAAAGUCAAAUCAUGAAACCUUUUCACAAAAGCUUUACCAGGCAUUCAAAGAUCAUAGACGCUUCAUCAAGCCAAAACUGACGCGCUCAGAUUUUACCAUUGUUCAUUAUGCAGGAGAGGUUCAGUAUCAGUCGGAUCAAUUUUUAGACAAAAACAAAGACUAUGUUGUUGCUGAACAUCAAAAUUUGUUGAGUUCUUCCAGUUGUUCGUUUGUAGCAGGCCUUUUCCCUUCUGUUUCUGAUGAGGGAGCCAAAUCAUCCAAGUUCUCAUCCAUUGGUUCUCGUUUUAAGCUACAGUUGCAACAGUUGAUGGAUACACUAAAUUCCACAGAGCCCCACUACAUUAGAUGUGUGAAGCCAAAUAAUUUUUUAAAACCUGCAAUAUUUGAGAAUAUCAAUGUCUUGCAACAACUACGUUCGGGUGGUGUUCUAGAAGCGGUCAGAAUCAAAUGCGCUGGAUACCCUAUUCACAGGACCUUUGAUGAUUUUCUAAAUCGAUUUGGUAGCCUUGCACCAGAGGUUUUUGAAGGGAACUAUGAAGAAGAGGUAGCAUGCAAAAAGAUUCUGGAGAAGAUGGGGCUUACAGAUUAUCAGAUAGGUAAAACAAAGGUUUUCCUAAGAGCUGGUCAGAUGGCCGAGUUAGAUGCACGGAGAGCAAGCAUACUUGGCAUCUCAGCCAAGGUCAUCCAAAAACAUAUUAGAACCCAUAUUACUCGUAAAAUGUUUGUUAAAAAGCGGAAGGCUUCUAUUCAUAUACAAUCCUUUUGGAGAGGGGAACUGGCUCGCAAAUUAUAUAAGCUCAUGAAAAGAGAGAUAGCUACUGUCAUAAUUCAGAGAGAUUUGCGUAGACACCUGACUAGAAAAGCCUACAUCAGAAUUAAAUUAUCUACAGUGGUCUUGCAGACAGGUUUACGGUCAAUGGUUGCUCGUAUUGAAUUUAGAUACAGAGAGCGCACAAAGGCUGCAAUUGUCAUUCAGGCCAAUUGGCGCUGCCAUAGAGCUUUCUCAGACUAUAAGAAGCUUAAGAAAGCAUCAAUCAUUUUGCAGUUCAGAUGGAAAGUAAGAAUUGCCAACAGAGAACUUAGUAAACAAAAGAUGGAAGCAAUCAAAGCGGCUUCCCCAGUAAUCAGAGAACCCUCACAUUCUGACAUAGAUGCUGAAAAGAUUGAGACUCUCACCAUGGAAGUGGAAAAUUUGAAGGCCUUGCUGUGGGCAGAAAAACAAAGAGCUGAUGAGUGUGAAAGGAAAUAUGCAGAAGCCCAGAUAACAAAUGAAGAAAGACGUAAAAAAUUAGAAGAAACUGAAAGAUUAGUUCAUCAACUUCAGGACUCCUUCAACAGUGUGUCUCAGGAUGACAAAUUCUAUGUCAAAUCAAGUCUCAGAGCUGAAAAUGAUAUUGUCUACAUCAAAUUUGAGUUCAAUUUCUGGAAACUUUACUGGAGAGGAUCAGAUUGAAUUCAUUUCAAGUGACUCAGAUUCAUCAUCAUCUAGCUCUGAUUUCACUUUUCCAGCUCCAGCUCCAGCUCCAACUUCACCAACCUUUCCUUCUGUCAAGCCAAGUCCAUUCCAGCUGAUAAUUCAGGAUAUUUCAGCAGCAGAAUUAUCAGGAUUUGAAAGUGAGAGGGCAUUUGAUGAUUUCUUCUGAUGGAACUUCUUUCUAAUCAAUCUAGCUUAGGUAUUAGUUCCAUAGAAUGUGGACCUUUUGGAAUUCUAGAAUAGGCAUACAAUUUAAAGAAGAUCGUAGAUGGACAUAGAAGUUUCUCUAGGAUGCUUUAGAACCAAUUAGUCAGGUAAUCUUAACAAAAUCAUCUUUGUAAUUGUAGAUUAAUAAUGCUAGUACACUGACAUUCAUUCUAAUUUUACCUCACUCUAACAACGGUCCAAAAGUGCAACAAAAAAAAAAAAGUACAUUAAACACUCAAAGCUAUAGCAUAGUUUAUUCUUUGCUGCUUUUGUUUUUACUUUUUCUUGGUGAUCAAAUAUGAAAUUGUGAGGGGAUCUGCAUGGUGCUCUUCAUCAACUCAAUAGAUCAUUUAUAGAUGUAGAGGCCUCAAAAUCAACUGUAGAGAAACAGCAGGAGAACUAUCACCUUCUAAUCUAUGUACAGCAAAGCAACAAGGCUUCACAAGAGGACAUCGGUCUUAUUGCAAUAUGUGCUACAUUGGAGAUAAACUCAAGCAAUCAUCGUGUACCGGGAAGAUUACGAGUGACACCAAAUUUAUAUGUAAAAUUUUCUAUUCAUUUCUAUUGGGCCCUUUUUUCAAUUUUUUCCAUUUUGGAAGAACUUUUAAAGUUGAUAUUUUUAUUUUUGGUUACUAUACUGUGGAUGAAGGGGAUAUUAACCAUUUUGGGCUUCUUUCAUUAGCUCUGGACA